rnacentral:lncRNA from 1 species
UGGGGUGGAGGCUUCGAAUGUCUGAUUGCUUGGAGAUGGAGGUUAUGAUCAGGGAGUAUCUUGAGGGUUAGUAGUCAAGGGCUCUCUCGAUGAUGGCCAGGAUUACUCUGGUGAGAUUGGUUCUCCAUGCUAUUCUGAUCUAUUUGCUGUCUCACAUUAUUUUACUGAGAUCUUUUCUCUUGAAGCUCGAGCAGCUCUUCAGAAACUUUUUGUAGGGCUCACAUGGUGGAGAUAGUGUUGGAAUUUGAGGUUUGGUGCAUACAUGUGUGUUUCAAAAUUUUUAUUUUCUAAACAGCGCAGUGAAGA